rnacentral:rRNA from 1 species
CGGCCACAUUGGGACUGAGAUACGGCCCAGACUCCUACGGGAGGCAGCAGUGGGAAUAUUGCACAAUGGGCGGAAGCCUGAUGCAGCAACGCCGCGUGCGGGAUGACGGCCUUCGGGUUGUAAACCGCUUUCGCCUGUGACGAAGCGUGAGUGACGGUAAUGGGUAAAGAAGCACCGGCUAACUACGUGCCAGCAGCCGCGGUGAUACGUAGGGUGCGAGCGUUGUCCGGAUUUAUUGGGCGUAAAGGGCUCGUAGGUGGUUGAUCGCGUCGGAAGUGUAAUCUUGGGGCUUAACCCUGAGCGUGCUUUCGAUACGGGUUGACUUGAGGAAGGUAGGGGAGAAUGGAAUUCCUGGUGGAGCGGUGGAAUGCGCAGAUAUCAGGAGGAACACCAGUGGCGAAGGCGGUUCUCUGGGCCUUUCCUGACGCUGAGGAGCGAAAGCGUGGGGAGCGAACAGGCUUAGAUACCCUGGUAGUCCACGCUGUAAACGGUGGGUACUAGGUGUGGGGUCCAUUCCACGGGUUCCGUGCCGUAGCUAACGCUUUAAGUACCCCGCCUGGGGAGUACGGCCGCAAGGCUAAAACUCAAAGGAAUUGACGGGGCCCCGCACAAGCGGCGGAGCAUGCGGAUUAAUUCGAUGCAACGCGUAGAACCUUACCUGGGUUUGACAUGGAUCGGGAGUGCUCAGAGAUGGGUGUGCCUCUUUUGGGGUCGGUUCACAGGUGGUGCAUGGCUGUCGUCAGCUCGUGUCGUGAGAUGUUGGGUUAAGUCCCGCAACGAGCGCAACCCUUGUUCACUGUUGCCAGCACGUUAUGGUGGGGACUCAGUGGAGACCGCCGGGGUCAACUCGGAGGAAGGUGGGGAUGACGUCAAGUCAUCAUGCCCCUUAUGUCCAGGGCUUCACGCAUGCUACAAUGGCUGGUACAGAGAGUGGCGAGCCUGUGAGGGUGAGCGAAUCUCGGAAAGCCGGUCUCAGUUCGGAUUGGGGUCUGCAACUCGACCCCAUGAAGUCGGAGUCGCUAGUAAUCGCAGAUCAGCAACGCUGCGGUGAAUACGUUCCCGGAGAUCGGAAGAGCGUCGUGUAGGGAAAGAGUGUAGAUCUCGGUGGU